rnacentral:rRNA from 1 species
CAGUCGGACGGGAUUGGAGAGCUUGCUUUCCAUGAGAGUGGCGCACGGGUGCGUAACACGUAUGUAACCUACCUUCGUCAGGGGGAUAGCCUCUCGAAAGAGAGAUUAAGACCGCAUAACAUCAUUGAAUAGCAUUAUUUAAUGAUCAAAUAUUUAUAGGACGAAGAUGGGCAUGCGGAACAUUAGCUAGUUGGUGAGGUAACUGCUCACCAAGGCUACGAUGUUUAGGGGAUCUGAGAGGAUGACCCCCCACACUGGUACUGAGACACGGACCAGACUCCUACGGGAGGCAGCAGUAAGGAAUAUUGGUCAAUGGGCG